GUCGACGGAAGUCGUUAUGAUGAUUUCAACACUGACAGAGAACUUGUUCAAAGAAAGUAGAGAUUGACUUAUAACAAUGGCUUUAGUGGCGGACUGGUGAGUAACACGUGAGCAACCUGCCUAUCAGAGGGGAAUAACAGUGAGAAAUCAUUGCUAAUACCGCAUAUGCCAUAAAUAUCACAUGAUGAAAGUGGGAAAGGAGUAAUCCGCUGAUAGAUGGGCUCGCGUCUGAUUAGAUAGUUGGUGGGGUAACGGCCUACCAAGUCGACGAUCAGUAGCCGGACUGAGAGGUUGAACGGCCACAUUGGGACUGAGAUACGGCCCAGACUCCUACGGGAGGCAGCAGUCGGGAAUAUUGCGCAAUGGAGGAAACUCUGACGCAGUGACGCCGCGUAUAGGAAGAAGGUUUUCGGAUUGUAAACUAUUGUCGUUAGGGAAGAUACAAGACAGUACCUAAGGAGGAAGCCCCGGCUAACUACGUGCCAGCAGCCGCGGUAAUACGUAGGGAGCAAGCGUUAUCCGGAUUUAUUGGGUGUAAAGGGUGCGUAGACGGGAAAGCAAGUUAGUUGUGAAAUCCCUCGGCUUAACUGAGGAACUGCAACUAAAACUACUUUUCUUGAGUGUUGGAGAGGAAAGUGGAAUUCCUAGUGUAGCGGUGAAAUGCGUAGAUAUUAGGAGGAACACCGGUGGCGAAGGCGAC
rnacentral:rRNA from 1 species